rnacentral:rRNA from 1 species
UACGAAGGGGGCUAGCGUUGUUCGGAAUUACUGGGCGUAAAGCGCACGUAGGCGGGUUGUUAAGUCAGGGGUGAAAUCCCGGAGCUCAACUCCGGAACUGCCUUUGAUACUGGCAAUCUAGAGACUGGAAGAGGUUAGUGGAAUUCCCAGUGUAGAGGUGAAAUUCGUAGAUAUCAGGAGGAACACCGGUGGCGAAGGCGGCCCUCUGGACGGUGACUGACGCUGAGACGCGAAAGCGUGGGGAGCAAACAGG